GAUGAAGAACGUAGCGAAAUGCGAUAAGUAAUGUGAAUUGCAGAAUUCAGUGAAUCAUCGAAUCUUUGAACGCACAUUGCGCCCGCUAGUAUUCUGGCGGGCAUGCCUGUUCGAGCGUCAUUUCAACCAUCAAGCCCCUGGGCUUGUGUUGGGGACCUGCGGCUGCCGCAGGCCCUGAAAAGCAGUGGCGGGCUCGCUGUCACACCGAGCGUAGUAGAUUUUAUCUCGCUCUGGGCGUGCUGCGGGUUCCGGCCGUUAAACCACCCUUUUAACCCAAGGUUGACCUCGGAUCAGGUAGGAAGACCCGCUGAACUUAAGCAUAUCAAUAAGCGGAGGA
rnacentral:misc_RNA from 1 species